CGUCCGUGGCCCUGACAGGCCACCUGUGGGUUGGUCUCGGCUUUAAAGCAGCUGUUCUCCCCUGGCCCCCGCAGCCCUGGCGACUGUGUCUGCACCCGGAGCACCUGGAGCGACUGCUGACCUGCCUCCCGCCCUGGCGGCGCGACCACCGCUUGGGACAGAACAGAUUGUCCGAGAGAGGCAAGUAGGGGUGCUUCACAAAAUACCUUCCUCAAACCCCAACCUCCCCCCACCCAGCCCGACCCUGCUCCGCAGUUCUUGGGGAAGAAGCGACGAGCCGAAGGCGGGGUGGGGAGGGGGCUUUCUUCGAGAAAGAAGUGGAGCGCAGCUGUCUCUGUCCUCCUUCCUGGCGGUGGCGACCCAAGUCAGGUAAAAACCCCGAUCAGUGUCCUCGGUCCAAUCCUCCCCCUCAGGGCCAGGACUCGGGACUGGAGGAGCCCCCAACUGGAGGUGAGAUGCGCGAGGCUGAGCCCGGGGCUGCUUCCUAGGGCCGGAGGAGGGGGGGCCGGUGGGCUCAGCAUCUGCCACAGGUGCCGUGCCUGCUGACAAAUUCAGCAGGAGGCAGGAACGCGGCCAGGGCGCCUGGGAAGGUGGAGGCGGCUCCGCACCCCGGCAGCUGAGCGCUCCUGCGGAGUGCUGCGGCCCCUAGAGUUGCGGGGGCGUUUCGCUCUCGCACCCACCAGCCCGGCGACGGCGACAUUGGCUUGUCAGGCUGAGUCAGGCGUCCGCUCGGCGAAGGGCAGCAUCAGCCUUGGGAGUGCGCUCUCUCCGAAGCCGGUCUCCCCAAGCCCACCCUACAGUGACCUGGUCUCGACUCUGAUCGCCCUUCAGAGUGCAGGUGCAGCAGACCUGUUCACAUGCAGAAAAGCGGCGGGGUUCGGUGUUCCAGACUUCCCUUCGCAGCCUUGCCCGCCACCAGAUCUGAGCGCCAGGAGUCCCGGGAUUCUGCCUGCCGACGCUCAGGCAACCCAGUGCCGAAGGGGAAAACGUGGGGAUUGCCGGGAGGCCACUGGAUAAUUAUCCCAGGGCAAGGGGCUCUUUCUCCACGCCGCGAUUGCGGCAAAUAAUUACACUAAUUCGGGGAAGGGAAGGGAGAGGCGCCGGGGAUUCCGCCUCAGAGGCAGCCCGGUCUGCCGAAAAAGCAUUUCUGUUGCAGACACGUCCUAGUCUCGCCUUUUUACCCCCCGCAAAGGGUGCCUACCCUUCGGGUUCCGGCCUCAGGGGUCAGAAUCCGGCAGCUGGAGGGUCUCCAGAGCCCCUGAACGGUGCAUCCGAGCCUCCAGCUUCAGCACCAGAGGCUGGACAGCGCCCGGGCCGGAGAGCCCCUGGAGUGGGUUCCCGCGCGCCACUCGGCUUCCCAGCCCGACUCAGCUUGAGCUAAAUUCCUCAGACCCCACACGGUGGAGGCCAGGAGAUGAGGCAGGGUUCGCCGAGGGGUGGGGGGGAUCACCUUUCCCAUUUCUCCAGGAGGUUAGGUGUCAGAUUCUGGGAGGGCAUUCUAUCCCCCCUUCGCGAAGACCAGUUGGAAUACAACUUGGUGCCAAGUUGCCGGGAGGGUGCCUAAGCGAAAAGAGGCGCGCCUGGAAAUGGUGAGUUCAGGGGCAAGCUGGAAAGUGGAUCUACCGGGAACCCCGGGCACUGUUGUGCUGUGACAUAUCGCUACAUCCAAGCCGUCUUCUCUCUCGCACCCCCGCCCACCCCCACUUCUUCCUUUUCUCUCACUCCACAAUCUCCGAAUGCCCUAACACAGGUGAAUGAAGGGAUGGGGUGGGGGGAGAUUUGAGAUAUUGAGGCCGAGGUAAGAAAGCCUAUUUAAUCUGAGUCUGAAUAUCUGGGUAGGUGAAAUCUGUGCAAAAUGAACGUCAAGGUCCUCAAUUUUAACCAAAGGAGCCCAGAGUGCCCUUUGCACGAGGAGCAGGAUGACUCUUUUGCCAAGGAGAAAAAAAGCCACGGAGGGGAAGACAUUAUCACAAAAGGGCUAACGGAGAUGGGGGAGGAGGGGACAGGACCGAGGCCCUAGUGUAGUUGCCAGGCAACCAGCCCCAGCCUCCUGUUGCCUUGGUUACAGUGAGUGGAGGGGUUUGGGUCACUGAUUAUCCUUGAGCACCUGGAUUCUUUAAAUUAUCUGCUGGAGAGCCCCUGCCUUCCCCGUGCUGGAUGGGAGACACAACCAAUCCUGUAAGAUCUCAGGGGUUUAAGAGGAAAUCCUGGCAGGUGAAUUUUUCUUUUUAAGUCAAGGUUCACAGUGAAGCAGCUACCUUUCGCCAAGGCAACCCUUUCCACUCUCUCCCCCACCCCCUUCACCAAGGUAAUCAUAUCCUACCCUGCCAUUUCUCUGGGAUUUGCAAUUAGGGAUUUCUCUCUCUCUCUCUCUCUCUCUCUCUCUCUCUCUCUCUCUCUUUCAUUUAGUCCCUUAGACGGAGGGGCCAAUCUUCCUCCCCCCCUCUUUUUUUUCCUUUAAAUGAGUAAAACAUAUUUGUUCUUCAUGGAUGAAUUCAAGGAACUCAGAGAAAUUAUCCAAAGGUGUUUCUGGUACAAAGAGAGGGUUUCUCCUUGGCUUGGCAGUGGUUCCUUCCUCCCUAGACAACUCCUCCAUGAGAGGGAAGCUGAAUUCUAGAUCACCCUGUCUUCUCACUUCUCCCCACAGACCACACAGCACAGGUUGGUAGAAAGGCAGCCCUCUUAGCAAAUUUCCACUAGUGUUCCACCUGCAUUUGAUUCUUCAAGGUUCUCUUCCCUUUAUUCCCUCUCCAGCCUGCCUUCAUAGUGAGCAAAUCAGCACUUAAUAUUUCCAAUCCUCUGAUCUUUUUCCCUUCCCUUGAUUGACAAACACUGAUUCCGUGUUUCAUCUGUCGGCUUUGCCCACCUGUGUUCAUUUGCAAUAUCUGUGGGAAAUCAUUUUACCCAUCCUUUCCCAAAGGCAGUUGUAACAGUCUCAGAAUGAUUUAAAGGGACAUCACUAGUAAGUUAAUAGGACAACUUGUGUUCUGUGCACUAUUUCACCUAGAAUACUUUUCCUUCAGAACCUUGAACUUUCCCUUUCCAAAAUAAAACCUGGUUUUAAACUGAGCUAUAAUUUGACAACAGGGAGAUCUCUGUUUCAGACAGGAACUAUCCUAUCAAUAUCUGUGAUGCCCUGCAUCAGUAAACACACACUUCAUUUUCUCUUCCUUGCCUUUUCCUUCACGCAUUGCUAAUAUAAAAAAAAAAAAUUAGUCAUUAUAACUUCAAUCUAAAUUGAAGGUCAAAAUUACUCUCCAUUGACUGGCUAGUUUGGGGAAGAUUUACAUUAAAAUUCUUUCCCCUCACAUGUUACUAUAGAAACUUCUUUUUAAUACAGACCAGACAGCUGGUCUGCUUUUUGUACUUUUCUUCCCAAAGAAGUACCUCCUUUGUGAAUUCUCUGGGGCAGCUAUCAUUGAUCACAUCAAUAAUGUCCCAUAGCCCCAUAGCAACAGUGUUUUGUUUUGUUUUGUUUUGUUUUGUUUAAUUAUUAUUCCUUUUCUGCUCAUUUUCUUUAUGGACAAAGGGUCUGCUUUCCUUUCAAGAAGAGAACUGAGAUCUUAUUGGCCAGGAAAGGAGAAGCAUUAUUUCAUUGGUUAGUUUGCAUCGCUUUGUCAACCAAUCAGAGGAUGCCAUUUAUCCUUUUCUGACUAGCUGAGUGAACAGGGUACCUAGAAUAUUUGAAUCUGCCUUAGUUUCUUCCAGUAGCAAAGGAUGGAAUUCAGAGUUCUAGGACCCAAGAACUUUGGCUAAUCCAGAUUGCAUUUCACUUGCAAGAGCGAAUUUUGCUACCUAGUUAUUUGUAGCUUACUUGAACACAAAGUACGUUGUUCUAUGCACUUUUCUUUUUAUUUAAAAAUGUACCUUGAUCAUCUUUCCACAUCAGUGCAUGUGAAUGGUAUCAGCAUACCAAGGGUCCAGGGAAUUUUUGUGAUUUCUCCUAGAAGUUCAGAAUUGGUUCCCACCUUUAGGGAUUUAGGGAAACUGUCAGGGGCGAGGAUGGGAAGCUAGAGGAGGGAAGAGCUGUGUUACCUACAUGAUCAACAUACGUCCUAGCUUUUGGAUUCAUUCUGUCCAACUUUGGUGCCCCUGGUAGUUUUGUUUGAUUUUCUACUUUAAUUUUUCAGAGCUGCUCCUUUGUCUUGCGUUUUCAGUGACAAGUAAAAACUCUGGAUGGAUGGAGAUGAUGGCCCUCCAAUUCAGUGUAAGAGCAGACACAUCACUUCCCAGGAAGGCCUGUGGCAGGUAGGUGAUGGUGAUCCCUGCAAAUGGAGAUCAUUCCAGCCCCUUGGGGCACUGGAGUUGGGCAGGUCUGUGUUUUUCUUUCUCCCUGCACCAAAUAGUCCUAUUUAAGUAUUCUGCCAUUAGCCUACACUUCUGCAAAAGAAAGGGUCAUUAAAAUUCCACCCUUUCCAAGACAGAAACUCUGAUGGCAGUUUGGAAGAAGGUUUAAUGUGAGUACCGAUCCCCCUGGUCAGUCUUUUCUCGGUUCUUGGCUGGAGGGAAUGUUUGGAAUGGAUAAAUGCUUGACCGUGAUAGUGCUCUCAAGGGCCACCUCCUUUAGUGGCCCCAUCUAUGCCAGAGUUUCAGUAGCAUCAUGAGCCCCAGCACUAGACUAUAAGCCCUUCAAUAUUAGGGGCUAUGUCUUGUAUACCUUUGUUUCCCUGGAACUUUGUCAUGCUUAAAAUAGGGUCUCAACAAUGUUUGAACUGAAUCCUACAGGCUAGUAUCAAGACAAGACCCUUAACUUCCUCUUUAUGACAAGGGCAGUUCUAGCCCUGGACCCUCCCCCAACUGUCCUUUCCAAAAGCUUCUAUUCCCUAGCUCUCUUCACAAAAGAUACAUGAAGGCUCAGCUCAUCGUUACCAUGGUUACAUGGAGUGGCCACACGGAGGAUCCCUAUCACCCAUUGCUGUCAGGAGGAAAGAGAGAGGAGGGGUUUGGGGAUCAUUGUCACGGAGGAAACCAUGGAAACAAGCGUUGCCAAGGCAAUGACUCUAAAUUCAGAGGAAAGAAACUAGAAGUGGGGAGAGGGAGAUGGGGGGCUCAAGGGCAGGUCAUGGUUUCAAGGUACAUUUCUCUUAAACUGUAACAGCGUCCUUUGCUAUUUGCAUCUUUUUUUAAAUAAAGUAUUUUUCAUUUUAUUUUUUUAAAGUAACCUCUAUGCCCAGUGUGGGGCCUGAACUCAUGACCCCGAGAUCAAGAGUUGCAUGCUCCACGAUUGAGCCAGCCAGCCACCCCUCUAUUUACAUAUUCACCCAACCCAGAAAGAGCCCAGAGUUAAAGAAUUUAGGAAAACUGGGCUUCAAGUCCAUGUUCAUUGGUUCUGCAAGGAAAAGGCCAAUUAAAAUGAGUCUAUUCACACUCAUGAUCAACUCUGUCUCUGAAUUUUGCCUCUUUGCUAACCAGUUGCAUGAGCCAGACUGUGUGGUAGGCACUGGAAUAUAAUAAUGAGCAAAAGCCCCUGUUCUCAUGUUGAGCUGAUCACAGGACAGCCACUUGGUGGCUUUAGGUCAGGGUUGCUCACAGGGCUAGACUGGACAGUCCUGAAUGUCAAUGUCCAGGGAUCUGCUAGGAUUCUCUCCAAGCUCUCUCUGUAACAUCUUUUAGCUUAUCUAUUACCACCAGAAGUUUGCCUGGGAGCUCCCUGAGAAAGGCCUGUUUUUCCUAGGAGUACCCCUUCAGUUAACAUCUUGCAUGUUACUUAGCCUUGUUCUCUAAUAUUAGCACUCAGAUCUUUGUCUCUGAAACUAUACUAAGGAUGAUGUACCAAACCUCUUUCAACAGUACCAAAGAGACAUGAGGCCAUUAUUAAGAGAUUAAUGACAACAAAUCCCUUUCUCUUCCUUGAUGGGUUAGAUGCUGGGGGUGGGGUUCCUCAGCCCCUUGUAGCUUAGAGUCCCAGAGCAAGCACCCCACUGGGGAGUGGAGAAAAGGGGGUCUCAACAGCCUCCUGGGGAGGGCUAUCUCUCCCCUGCACCCUCCACAGAAGAGCUUGGGGUUUUCUCAGGCUCACCUGUCUAGGGCUAACAGUUGGAAGGCCUUGGGCCUCGGAGCUGGGCACUGCCAGUCUUCUCCAUGUCCCCCCUCUGUGUCUCCAAGCAGGUCCUGCCCCGUUCCGGAUGGAGAGAAUGGAGAGAACAAACUGAAGGUUGGAGAGCUGGGCUACAGAGGAAGACGUCUCAAUUAGAAAGAGAAAGAAUUGAAAGCAGCACCGAUAGGGAAGGGUAAUUAUCCCCCAGCUGCUGCAGAAAUAAAAUCAGGGCGGUGCUCUCUGAGGCACCAGGAUAUUGUGGUUUUUGCCAAUUAAAAAGCAGAUACGCCCUGCCAGUGCAAUUAGA
rnacentral:lncRNA from 1 species